GAAAAGGCUGUUACUGACUCAGAUGAGGCAGUCGGCUGUUUUGACAAUAUCAUUAUCCAGACUUACGUAUAUAUCUUUCAACUUCACUCAAGGUCUAAUGCUCCUCUGUCACUCCAAAGGCUUAAGGGUUAAUAAUUUUGCAAGUACUCAAUUCUCAAAGACAAGGGAGCAAUUUCAAAUUGACUUUCAAAUACAUUCAUGGAAACUGUGUGUCCUGUCUCAGAAAGAAUAAUCCACUACAUUCGCAUAUAAACAGAAUCCUUAAAUAUGCAACAGAUGUUCCAUUUUUUUGUAAAGCCCUUGAAUUCAUUGACAGGCCUUCGGCUAAACUGAAGAAUUAAUUUGUUCAGGGCAGAUUUCAUAAAUCCUCUAAUAAUUCUUGCCCUUACACAUCUUGACUUGAUUUCUGAGAUCUACAGCAUGUGUUUUAAAUGUUUUAACCUUUACUACUUUAAUCAGGUAACAUUUAUUUCAGGACUGGAUGAUGAUCGGUCACUGAAAGAUAUAGUUGACUGGGAAAUAAAAUCCAAUUUGUCAGUUAAACAAAAGUGCUCUACAUCUGAAAUAAGAAGAAAUCAGUCUGUGUUACUGGAUCCCUGAAAUACUUAGUGGUUUUGACAUCAGUCUCCUUCUCAAGGAUACAUAGUGCUGAAUUGCUAAGUAUUGCUGAAUGUAGUACUGGUAUGCAGAAAACCGCUGUCACUAUGCUUAUGUAAAGCUGAUUUUCUGGGGGUAGUUUCAAUGUAAGUAUUUAAUUUUAUGCUGAAAGUUAUUUGUAUCUUUUAAAGUUAUACUUAUUUUUAAUAUUCAGAGGUUACCAAUUUAAACAGUAAUGAAAUUAGCCAGAAAAACAAGUUUUGUUUAAGAUACUUGCUUCAUAGACGUCUUUUUCUAUAGUAACGCCUCUAAUGUAAUUAUAUCAAAGAAUUCAAGGUGGUUUUAUUAAUAGAUGUGCAAUAAGAUAUAAAGUUUUUAUAUAUAAAGUUUUUUUCAUUCACUGCUAGACAACUGAUAUGCUGCCUGUCCUCUCGAUAAAUCAUUAUAUGUUUUCUAUAAUAGACAUCCAGAGGUACGAAUCUACAAUCUGUAAAAUACAAUGGACAUACAUUACAUGUAUAUUAUUUUUAUUUCUGAUGAAAGCCUUUAGCAGAUCAAAAGGUCAUUUCUUUUGCCUCUUCCAUAACGUUUGUCACUAUUUGGAAUAGAUGUCCCAUGGACUUUUCUGAAUCAUCAUAAAAAGCAGCCAAAAGUACAAAACCAAGUGUCUAGAAACAGGAGACCUAGCAAAGUUUGUUCAUUUUUCCCUUGAUAUUGUCCACCAGGUUCUUUCUUGAUAGUUUCUCCUUUGCAAUAAGAGGUCCUUUAAAAGCUGCGAUCUGGAGAAGUCAAUCAAAAUCUCUUGGUAGCUUUGCAGUCUGCGUUUUGCUCUGUCUUGUUGAAGAGAAAACAGAAACUCAUACAAGCAAGCCAGUUUAAGAGUAGGUUAAACUUAAUAUCCAAUGAUAGGCUGAAACUCUUAUCUGCAAAUGAUGACAGUUUAUGAUGCCUACUUUCAUAAGCACCAUAACUGUAGUCUCUUAGGAUGAGCAGUAGCACAUGAAUUGAGACCAGGAGAAAAGACUUGUACUUAGUUCCUAUAGAAUCAAAAUCCUGCAUUAAAAAGAAAAGGCCUUAUUGUAACUUUUAAUGCAUAUAUAUGUAAAAUAAAUAUAAAGCAGUUCAGACAUCUGGGUUGAUGACAUAUAGUAUGAUUUCAAUUUUAUUUCCUUCUCAUCUUCCCUUUCUUUUCACUUCAGAAAAGAUUCCAGAGGGCAGCUAGAAUUAGUUGCCUAAUGGGUAAGCUCCAGGCUUUCAAAAAGACCUGCAAGAAAUACCAGAGCUGACACAGAAAUCCAUAUGCAUAUUUGCUGAUUCACAAAAUUAUUUAUGUCCAAGCUUCCUACAGAUGGAGCUAGAAUGCAGAUUGUAAAGGCCUGUUAUUUUUCAUAACAGAUAAAGGGGUGUCAUCUUUACAGAUGGACUCCUUGUUUAGAUGCCUUAUGUUCUGUCUCUAAUUUAUUUGUUUAACAAGCAAGUAAUUUUCAGAAAAGGUUAGUUUUAAAGGUACAGCUUUUGCUAAGUCAAGUUUCAUGUCAAUUAAGUGUUUUUUCAAAUUGCUGGUAGUCAUUUUCUUCCCAUUUAAUGCUAAUAUAUUUAGCCUAUUAAUUCUUUCAAUCCUUUCUUUAAUACGGUGACUAAUGCAGAAAGAGAAAAAAAAACAAAGAACAUAUUUGAAGUAAAGAGAAAUAGGCUCAUUCUCAUUGAUACAUCAUUUUGCUAUCGUGUGCCUUCUGAUACUUUGCCUUUUCUGUUCUAUGUCUAUAUUAUUAGCUUUUUCGAUCAAAGCCAUAUUUUUCCAUAUAGAAUUAUAUGAACAAUAUUGUAAAACCUUUGGUUUCAUAAAAGGACAAAUGUCUGUAAUUUGAUUUUUCUCAGACUUCUCCAGAAAACAAAAGAGUUGUAUUAAAUAGCGUCUUUCAAAUUCUUCAGA